rnacentral:tRNA from 1 species
AUAGCACAGAAGUAAAAAAGUUACAUUUAGUUUCGACCUAAUAUUUGAGAUUUAUUUCUCCUUGCUUUA